rnacentral:rRNA from 1 species
CAGGUCACUCCUACGGGAGGCAGCAGUGGGGAAUUUUGGACAAUGGGGGAAACCCUGAUCCAGCAAUGCCGCGUGUGUGAAGAAGGCCUUCGGGUUGUAAAGCACUUUUGUCCGGAAAGAAAACUUCGGGGCUAAUACCUCUGGAGGAUGACGGUACCGGAAGAAUAAGCACCGGCUAACUACGUGCCAGCAGCCGCGGUAAUACGUAGGGUGCGAGCGUUAAUCGGAAUUACUGGGCGUAAAGCGUGCGCAGGCGGUCUGUUAAGACAGAUGUGAAAUCCCCGGGCUUAACCUGGGAACUGCAUUUGUGACUGGCAGGCUAGAGUAUGGCAGAGGGGGGUAGAAUUCCACGUGUAGCAGUGAAAUGCGUAGAGAUGUGGAGGAAUACCGAUGGCGAAGGCAGCCCCCUGGGCCAAUACUGACGCUCAUGCACGAAAGCGUGGGGAGCAAACAGGAUUAGAUACCCUGGUAGUCCACGCCCUAAACGAUGUCAACUAGUUGUUGGGGAUUCAUUUCCUUAGUAACGUAGCUAACGCGUGAAGUUGACCGCCUGGGGAGUACGGUCGCAAGAUUAAAACUCAAAGGAAUUGAC